rnacentral:rRNA from 1 species
ACGCUCGACACCUACGGGAGGUAGCAGUGGGGAAUAUUGCACAAUGGGGGAAACCCUGAUGCAGCGACGCCGCGUGAGCGAAGAAGUAUCUCGGUAUGUAAAGCUCUAUCAGCAGGGAAGAAAAUGACGGUACCUGACUAAGAAGCACCGGCUAAAUACGUGCCAGCAGCCGGACGGUAAUCUGAGGCGGGCUGGCAAGGC